AAUGAGGGAGACACUUUCCUGUUUAAAUCUGUGCCUCCCUCUGCCCAGGCUGCACCCGGAGACACAAUCCACAGCCCCUGGGUCUGUGCAGUGACCAGCCAGUCCCCUGGGAACUUUCCCCUCCAGCACAAGGGAAAAUGGGAUUUUUGCUCCUUGUGAUUUUCGCUGUAGCAGCUUUGGAAGGUGUCCGGUCCCAGGUGCAGCUGGUGGAGUCCGGAGGGGAUGUGAAAAAGCCCGGAGACUCUCUCCGCCUCUCCUGCAAAGCCUCCGGGUUCACCUUCAGCAGCUACGCUAUGAGCUGGGUCCGGCAGGCUCCCGGGAAGGGACUGGAAUGGGUCGCUGCUAUAAACUACGAUGGGAGUAGUACAUAUUACCCUGAUUCAGUCAAAGGCCGAUUCACCAUCUCCAGGGAUAAUCCCAAGAGUGAGCUGUAUCUGCAAAUGACCGGCCUGAAGCCCCAGGACACCGCCCGCUAUUACUGCGCGAAAGACACAGUGAGGGGAAGCCGGGCUGAGCUCAGACAAAAACCUCUCCCUGCAGUCCAGCUAGUGGAGUCCGAAGGGGAUGUGAAAAAGCCAGGAGACGCUCUUCGCCUCUCCUGCAAAGCCUCCGGGUUCACCAUGAGCAGUUAUCCUAUGUAUUGGAUUCGCCAGGCUGCAAGGAAGGGACAGGAGUGGCUGGCCAGAGCGGCUGUCCAGGGUAGCACCUACUACUCUAAUUCCGUGAAAGGGCCUUUCAUCAUCUCCAGAGACACCGCCAACAAUCGGUGCUUUUGCAAAUGA